rnacentral:rRNA from 1 species
AGCUCCAAUAGCGUAUAUUAAAGUUGUUGCAGUUAAAAAGCUCGUAGUUGGAUUUCUGGUGGGAGCGCCCGGUCGUCCCCGAGAGGGGUUGUACUGGUGGCGUCUCCGGCCAUCCUCGGGAGGAGUUCGUCUGGCAUUGAGUUGUCGGGCGGAUGAUGCUCGUCGUUUACUGUGAACAAAUUAGAGUGUUCAAAGCAGGCUUAGGCCGUUGAAUACAUUAGCAUGGAAUAAUGAGAUAGGACUUUGGUGGUCUAUUUUGUUGGUUUGCACGCCGAAGUAAUGAUUAAUAGGAGCGGUUGGGGGUAUUCGUAUUCAAUUGUCAGAGGUGAAAUUCUUGGAUUUAUGAAAGAUGAACUUCUGCGAAAGCAUUUGCCAAGGAUGUUUUCA